GAUGAAGAACGCAGCGAAAUGCGAUACUUGGUGUGAAUUGCAGAAUCCCGUGAACCAUCGAGUCUUUGAACGCAAGUUGCGCCCGAAGCCACUAGGCCGAGGGCACGCCUGCCUGGGCGUCACACGUCGUUGCCCCCCCAUCUACUCCUUCGGGAUUGCGGGGGGGCGGAUGAUGGCCUCCCGUGCACCAAGCCGCGCGGUUGGCAUAAAUACCAAGUCCUCGGCGACGCACGCCACGACAAUCGGUGGUUGCGAAACCUCGGUUGCCCGUCGUGUGCGUUCGUCGCGCAUCGAGGGCUCGAAAAAAUGCUCGGCUUCGGCUCGGCUUUCAACGCGACCCCAGGUCAGGCGGGGUUACCCGCUGAAUUUAAGCAUAUCAAUAAGCGGAGGA
rnacentral:misc_RNA from 1 species